rnacentral:rRNA from 1 species
CCUACGGGUGGCAGCAGUGAGGAAUAUUGGUCAAUGGGCGAGAGCCUGAACCAGCCAAGUCGCGUGAGGGAAGACGGUCCUAUGGAUUGUAAACCUCUUUUGCCGGGGAGCAAAAAGCGGUAGGUGUACCGCAUCGAGAGUACCCUGAGAAAAAGCAUCGGCUAACUCCGUGCCGGCAGCCGCUGUAAUUCGGAGGAUGCGAGCGUUAUCGGGAUGUAUUGGGUUUAAAGGGUGCGCAGGCGGCGGGUUAAGUCCGCGGUAAAAUUACGGGGCUAAACCCCGACAUGCCCUGGAAACUGGCUUGCUAGAGUGGGCGAGAAGUAUGCGGAAUGCGUGGUGUAGCGGUGAAAUGCAUAGAUAUCACGCAGAACUCCGAUUGCGAAGGCAGCAUACCGGCGCCCAACUGACGCUCAGGCACGAAAGCGUGGGUAUCGAACAGGAUUAGAUACCCGGGUAGUC